GAGCAGAAGGCGGCGAUGUGCGCAGAGUCGGAGCAGGGAGAAAACCCCAGGGAAGAAAGCUCCAACUGCAGCUCCAGCUGCUCUCGGGAGGCAGAAGUGGGGAAAACCUACACUACAGCAAGGAGCAGCCAACGAGAAAGCCUUCUGUAUCCACUUCCCGGUUAAAACCCCAUCGCGGCAGACGUAGUUUUUCCUUCAAUUAUUAAUCUAUAUCUUAAAGGACAAAUCAGAGUGCCGAAACCACACAAUCGGGCCUUCCCUUACAGCCAGACUGCGUGGCCGAGCGCUGUACUUACGGACGCAACCCUAUACACAGCGAAGAAACAGCUCCGCUUCCCUUCCCCCACCGCCCUCACCCGCCUUCUCCGGCCCAGCAGAGCACGGCACGAGGCCCGGCCCCAGCGGCAUCCCGCCCCGCCCCGCCUGGCCGCGGGGUAGAGAGCGGGCGGGGGGUGCGAAAGGCGCGGGGACGGCUGAGGGGUGGUAUGCUGUGGGAGUUGGGCUUGGCGCCGCCGUCCUCCUCACGCCCUCCCUGCUCCUCAGGCAGCGAUCAUCUGUGAAAAAUGAGGGCAUCCAGCAACUCUCUGGGCAACCUGUGCCAGUGCCUCACCACCCUGAUUGUAAAAACCUUCCGUAUAUCCAAUCUAAAUCUCCCCUCUUUUAGUUUGGAACUACUUGCCCUUGUCCUGUCACAACAGACCCUGCUAAAGAGUCUGUCCUCUUCUUUCCUAUAGCCCCCCUUAGACACUGAAAGGAAUUGGGAUGGCCUAGCUAAGGUCUUAGCUUGACUUUGAGAUAUCUGGGACAGGAAUCUUGUCUUCUGUCGUGUUUCAUUAUGUGCAGCAGCUCAAGUGACGUGGAUUCUCUUGAAAGAAAGACUUCUAUGUGCUGCUCUUAUAAUGUGAAGAAACAAUUUGGCCAGCGUAAGGAGGGAAGCGCAUGCUGAUGCAGAAAGUAAUGUUGCAAACAGGCCAGCAAACACCCUAACUGAAUAAGAACACUUCCUGGGAGGAUCUUAAGAGGAGAAGUGUCACAAGUACAGAAAUUGAAAUCAAGUCCUCUGAUGUGUCCCCCAGGGCAUGGCAUGGCAGUUUGAGAGGACACGGCAAGGGUGAAACAUUUCUACAGCUUCAGUUACUCCUUGAACAGCUCUGCAAGUGUAAAGUGUAUUGAUUCGCAUUGGACCCAAUCCUGUAAAUCCAUGGGCACAAUCACCGUACCAAGCAGCCCCAACACCCUAUGAAGACAGCCAGGGGGGAAAAUGACCUCAGGGAGGCUUUGAACACACUCUUAACACUUCAUCAUAAUGGGAUGUAUGUCACUAAGACAACUGGAUGCAGUUAUUUCCUCCCAUCUUCCCCAUUAAAACAGCGUAAUGACAGCCGAUAACUCGGGUAUUCACAUGCUAAGAAAUGCCUAAACUUGUCUCUUGCAUUAGCCCUUUGCUUGAAAGUUGCUAGUGCAUCAUCUCCCCUCUGCAUAUACAAUCUAUUACUUCCUACUGCAUGGGUUAUAUUACCUCACUUAACAGGGAUAAACUCUUGCAAAUGAAAUGCCCGGCUCUAUCAAGGUCUGUGGUUUGUGUGUAUUCCAGGGAGCGUUUGUUUCCUGAUGUAAAAUCUCUCGCCUUCAGUUGGUCAUAGGCUGUUCUGUGCUGCGGUGCCCACCGAACUGCUGUAGCAGGUUAAUUUAUUCGUGUAUAAAAUGUGGACAUGCUUAUAUAACGUAGUAAGUGACCUGCUUUGAAUUUUGACAGGAUAAAAAGCACGAUUAGAUGCUGGUUGUAAAAUACAAGGGUAAAAGCAUCAAUGUGUUCCUAUUCUAAUUCCUUAUGUUGUCUCUGUGGGCGACAUUUUCCCCUCUUGUUUUUAGCCGGAUUUGGGCAAGCUUUAAACAAAAACUUCCAGCUUAAUUUGCAUGAGAGGCCGGCAAUGAUGGUUUGCCAUUAUUAAGAGCAGCAAACAAUUUUGUUACCUUUCCUAAGUAUCCCCGCAGCCAAAAGAGCUUGAGCUUUGAAUUUAGAAGUUACCAUGGAAAUAGCUCUUAGAGAAAAGUCUGUCUUUUCCCAUGUGAUGGUUGUUUCUCUUUUUUAGGGAAAUGUACAUUUCUCCCGUGAGUUUUAUGUGGGCAGCCGGCUGAUGAAAAACUCCUGUUAUUCUAAGCAGAAAGUACAUGCUGGAAACUUCCUAAUUUGCAGCUGCUUUGCCCUCCCAUUGUUCAGCCUAAGUGUUUUGUAAUCUGCUUCCUUGCUGAAGGUUGAAUUCAACAACGAGAUUUCAGCUCUGUUCUUGCCAUUUCUUAAUGCCGAUUGAGCACCCAGAACAGGAAACAAGGGAAAAAGCAAUCCCUGCCAGCUCACAGGAGCCUGCAGUGUGACGGUUUGAUGCUACGAGGUGCCCAUCAGUCCUGUCCUCGUGCUCUGAAGGCCACUUCCCUCUAACAACGACUGCUGGCACCGCCUGGACCGGUCCGGCAAGAAGGGAUUAAUUUGGCCCUUGAAGUCUAAGAUGUCUUGACAACCCCUGAGGGAACACAGACCUGUUGGCUCUGCACAGCGAAGGGAAGAACGCAGCUGGAUUGAGGAGAGAAAGCAGCUGGGAAGCACACUGAGCCACAAGCAGUGCUGUGUGCAGUACAACCAUCACUUGGAAUUUAGAGGGUGCCAGCGACUGACAAACCACCGGCCUUGGCUGCUUGGGAGAUCCCAGCGAUCCGUGCUGCCAGCUUAUCCCAGUGAAAGAGUGGGAUACACACAGCCGGUAAAUUUCCUUUUAUUUCCAGUUCCCUCACUGGAAGGAGAAGUACUGCAUGUUGGUGGAGUUCAGUGCUGCUGACCACGAAGCUGCAGUGCAGGCACGGAGGUACUCAUGACAAACAGGCAGGUCCUGCCCCAUUGCUCUUCCAGCAAUCAGCUGCACCGCGCUGUGAGGCAAUGAGCAGCGGGCACCGCAGCUUUUCAGAGCUCACAGCUCCUUGUAGCUGUUGGUUGAGCUAAAGUAUCUCAUUGCAUUCCUCACCAGCCUUAACAUUACAACUAAGGCCUUUUCAAGAUCCCCGGUUCAAACCGAGGGACAAUUCGAGGGGUCACUUCCUCACCUGAAAUGAAAAUUUUCAGCUUCAUCAAUCAGCAGCUGAAGGUUUGGUCUAGAAGGACAGAUUGUGAGAGGAGACAAAAAUAGCCCUUUUCUUCCCAUUUGCCAUGUGUAUUUACCUCUCCCAUUAACAGCAGGGGCAAAUUUUACUACUUUUUUUCCUAUGAGUCACCCAGAAGGAACAAAGCUAGGCAACACUAUGUUGCAGCUUGUUUUGUCUUGCAUGAUAUCUACAUGUGUAUUGCAUGAAUUUGAAUGAAUUGCAAAACCAGCAGGACAAUCCCCUUGUAUUCAGAUCAGGCCAUCAAUCCCGUCCUUAGAGUCACUCAGUGUGACAAGGUUCCACGUGUAACAAACAGACUAUUUGCUUAUCUUCAUUCCAUUUAGCUGGGCUGAGUGUGCAGAAUGAGCCAUGCAGUGUGGGCUGAGUUCAUCCCUUGUUACCUAAGCAAGGGUCAUGUGCUCUCACUGACCCUUAGUGAAUGUAAUACUCUAUGAGAUUUUAUUUGUUUAUUUUCCAAAGGCACUUUUCAGAGUCUAAUUCCACUUUGGUAUGGUAACAAAGUCAUGAGAUCUACUGUAUUAGUCAGAAAUAACCGGUCUGGUGAGACAUGGAAUUGGAAGGCAUGGCAGGGACAAGUGGGACUGUAGGACUAAAGAACCGGUCUUCAGCUGCUCAGGUGAGGGAUGUCAUACAUGAAUUAAUAUUUUAGACUCAGCUGGGUGACAUUUUCCCCGAUGCAGAAGUGUCACCACACUGAAGGGCUGUUGUGAUUGGCACUCUCCCCAGAAGAGCAGGUUGCCAGUAAGUUAGGUCAGGACUGCACUGCAGGUUUGAGCUCUGAGACUGAAAUAAGGGCUGGUGCAACUCAGGGUUCAGUUUGCAGAACGGUGUGAAGGCAGUUUGUCUUCUGCUUCUGACACAGAGCACGUCCUGAAUGCAUUACUAAAAAAUGUUGAUGUCAUUUCUGACACAAAUAGUUGGUGUAUAGAUCUUCGAUUUUGUCAAUUUUUCCUUCAAUUUAGGUGGUUAAACUGAACUCAAGGCUUUUAGUUUCAUUAAUUGAAACAUAUAAUUGAUUAUUUGUUUCGCAGUGGAAACUCAGAGUGGACCUUAGUGAUUUCCUUUAUAUACUGUCCCUGAAGUCAGAGGAGCCCAAAGCAGGAAAGCAUCCAUCCAUUUCAGAGCUGACGUAGUGGUCCUGUUGGGGAUGUGUGCGUUUCUCUGGGGGGGGCGGCACUCCUGCAGGUAACUGCAAUACCUUCAGCAAUGAUUGGCAGCCUGAACAAACUCCAGCAGUUGCUGGGGAUGUGGGUAGCACAGGAUCAGGAUCCUCUGAGCGCAUCCUUCCUUGGCCAUACUGGAAGAGAGAGGGUUCAAGAAGAGAAAACAGAACUGUAUUAAAUCCAGCUAACUACAAACAAAAGCCAUCUGGUAGAACGUCUUUCUUUCCAGCACACUGAUGUUUCCUGUGGCAUGUUGCUUUGUGCUCUGCUAGUAAUCCUAAGUGUGACAGAUGAAGUAUGACAUGCACAGUGACUGAGAAAAAUUGCUGGUUGUCAGAAUAUCAGCAGCCGAUACAACAGCGAUGUUUAUUGACUUCCAAAUGGCAAUGUAAUCUUAGUUACUGGUAAACUUUGCGUUGUCCAACCUGAUGCUCUCUGUGAAAACGUAGCUAAUGGCUUUAUAGAAAGGGUGGCGGCUCAGCGUACUGAUCGUGCAUAUUAAAUUGUCAGUGUAGCACACUGAUGGAUUGCUGUACCAGCUUUUUAAGAUGAUGUUUUUCCUCUUGGUCUUAAAAUAACUCUGCUUUGAGGUCUUCCAGCCAAAAGCAAUCAAGAGAUAAAAUCCACCAGCAUGCUUAUUAGAAAAUAAUGAUGUAAUUGGAGAGUGCAAGGAGGGUAAGGAAUUAUUCACAUUAAAGGAAAUGGUUGAACCACCAAAGGGAAUGUGCUCCAUUUGUGACCACAAAGAAGAAACACAAAAUUGGGUUCUCAUUCAUUUUACAUGGAUGAGUGAAUGUGAGCGGCUGAUGUCUGGAGAAAGAAGUCUGCCUGCAUAUUGCUAAGCAAUAUACCUGAACUGUGGCAGAACUGGAGAUACAGACAUGACUAACCAAUUUAAUGGGAAAAAUUCAGGUAACUGGUUACUUUGGUUACUAAAUUCUUCGAUUUCCUUAAGAGGACUUAAAUGACUCAGAAAGCUGACUAGAAAAAAAGCAACGCAGCUCACUACAUAAACAUUUUUUUAGAGUAAAGAAAACCUUAAGAAGGGAGAAAGGACUUCAGAAUUCCCAGAUGUGUAAUUCCAUCAGGAGAAAUGGUAAUAAGAGUUCUAAGUGAUGUAUACACAGCUUCAUCUGGGGACUCUCAAUGAAAACAAUGACAUCUGAAAUGUAUCGAUAAUUGACUGUUUUUGUGAUGAUAUGAGGGCAGCAUUUAUGUAGGCAAAAGAACAACUUCAGUUUUCCAUUUGGAAAGGAAUGGCAUGGAAUAAGAUCUUGACUAUGCAAAUGCCUACAGUUUAAUGAUAACGUAACUGUAGGUAUUUGUAUUAUAUAUAUUCGUAUAAAUAUAUUUGUAUAUAUAUAUUUGUAGACUCAGUUACUGCUGUGCUGGGAUGCUUCCAUCAGAUUGCACAAGCACUGCUGGAGAAAUGGGAAGGAAGAUUGUUUACAAUCAAUUCUGCAAUGUUGUACACAGAUAGCCAGGCAGACCAAAACUUGCUCAGUAAAAUUGUUUAAUGUUAAAAAAUACAGAGUGAUACGUAGCAAAUUCUAAAUGUUAAGCAAAGUGUUUCUCAUUGGAGUGAAUUUAUUGCUGCAAUGAGAAACUUUAAGUUUUCUCUUCAAGAGGAAUUCAUAGGAACAAGUAGGGCCAAAAAUAGCUCUCAAAGCCACAGAGAGGUAGAUUCUGUCCCACAUCUGAGGUAUACUGAGCUUUGAGAUAUUUAGGGGGCAGCUAUAAAAUGUGGGAAGAUGUGCCAUUGGCAGCUAAUAUACAAACUGAUUGGUUCUCUGUCUUGUGCAUGUAUGAUUUUGUGAAAGGCAGGGAUUAAUGAACAAAGAAAGAAGGAACAGCAAUGUCAUAGUCACACCACUUUGAGUAUCUUAGUAUAAGGAUUUAAAAUUUAUGAUUUUUUUCCUACUUGGGACAGAUUUAGUUUUGUUUCUGAAAUGGCCAUGUAACUUUUCUAUGAUGCUCCCGAGCUUCAUUCACUAAAGAUGUGUGGGACCUAUUGUGCGCUAAUAAGAAAUUACCAACAGACUGACUCAGUGGAAGCCCUUCGCUGCAGAAAUGUUAAGAGAAACAGGUGUUAUGGACUGGCUUUAUUGUGCAGAACCUGAAAUAUGAACAAAAUUAAAAACUGCUAUUAAUCACUGUAAAAAGGAACUUCAUUGUAUUUUUCCCACUGUGGCUUUGUUCUCCAGUGGCUAAAAGGCCAUUUUUCUCUGCUUUGCUGUAUCCUUUCACUUUUGAUUUAAUAUUGGGUCCAAGAACAUGAAAUAAGUGUUGUAGUCCUAAGCUUGCUCUGCCGAUGAGCAAUUGAAUUGCUGUGGUCUUCACAGGAUCUAGCAAAGAUUCAGUAAGAGAGUAAAAGGAAAGAGGUGACAUUUCUGCUGGAAUCAAACUGUAAAGAACUGGGUUUGCAGCGUUGAGUCAGCUUUGUUCUGCUGGUCUGUCAAGAACUGAACUAGCCAUACUUUGUUUAUA